AACGAACGCUGACGGUAUGCCUCAUACAUGCAAGUCGAGCGGGCACAGCAAUGUGUCAGCGGCGAACGGGUGAGUAACGCGUGAACAAUCUGCCCCCGAAUCCGGGAUAACGGUUCCAACGAGCCGCUAAUACCAGAUAGGUUAUUUAGGCCACCUGGCCUUUUUAAGAAAGUUCCAAUUGGAACGUUCGGGGAUGAGUUCGCGUCCCAUUAGCUAGUUGGCGGGGUAAAGGCCCACCAAGGCGACGAUGGGUAGCCGGCCUGAGAGGGUGAUCGGCCACAUUGGGACUGAGAUACGGCCCAGACUCCUACGGGAGGCAGCAGUAGGGAAUUUUGCGCAAUGGACGAAAGUCUGACGCAGCAAUACCGUGUGAGGGAUGAAGCAUUUCGGUGUGUAAACCUCUGUCGAUGAUGAAUAAAGCAUUGGGGAGUGGAAAGCCCCGGUGUUGAAGGUAAUCAUGAAGGAAGCACCGGCUAACUCUGUG
rnacentral:rRNA from 1 species